rfam:Oryza barthii chromosome 5, whole genome shotgun sequence.
AAAAAGGCAAAUCCUGGAUUUCCGUGUCCAACUUUAAUUGUCCGUCUUAUAUGAAAUUUUUUUUUUUAUAAUUCGUAUUUUCAUUGUUGUUAGAUGAUAAAACAUGAUUAAUAUUUUAUGCGUGACUUGUCUUUUUAAAAUUUUUUCAUAAUUUUUUUAAAUAAGACGGACGAUCAAACGUUGAGCAUGGAAAUCAGGGUUUGUCUUUUU